AGCUACAGGAGUGGAAGGCGCAGCCAAGCAGCCGCUGGUAUUUCUGUGUUGCAUAUGGGCUGGGGUCCCUCCUGUCCUUCUCUCCUACACGAUCCCAGAUCUGAUUUCUAAUGGUGUUGUAUUUCCUCCCUAAAUCAUUUUUCAAUAGUAUUUUUGUUCUUCUGUGGGAUACAGAAGAACUUUUUUUUCCUAUUGCAAUAAGGACAAGUAAACAAGUCAGAAGCCUCAGAAGACCUCAAGAGAGAAAUCACAGCCUUCAAUUCCUGGUCCCUUUCUGAAACCUCAGCUCUUGAUUCACUUAAUUUCAAGGAGAAUUGUUUUAUGACUACGCCAAGCUGACCCAAAGACCCCUGGGAAGCACGUGGCCCAUCAGAGGGAAGGGCUAGGCCCUGGGGCUGGAAAGGAUGCAGAGCCUGUUUUCAACAAUUACGUCUACAUUUUCCAAGAGAUUAAACCGAUUGGAAGCCAAGCAUUGGAGAAGAGAUCUUUUGUCUUCCUUGGCAACAUUUCUGAAAUCUACAGAUAGGGAUGAGGAAGUGAGGCACAUUUUUCAUCUGUUCCAACAAACUGCCAAUGGAAUGGCUGACAUGCCAUUUUAGUGUAUGUCAUCUCUCCCGUGUUCCGUCAUCACUGAGGGUCAGCUGGGCCCUGCCCUUGAAUACAGCACAGGGCUGGUGUCAUGGAGCCGGCCUUCCUUACACUAAUGAACCGCAGGAGCCUCCCCUUGUCCCUUGCCUGGGGGGAACUAAUGGCAUUGCAGGGCAAAGGCUCAGCAGGGACCCUGUAGAUAGAGGAUAGAUCGGCACCCAGGCGUCUUACAGGGUGGACCCCAUGCUGGCAGGGUGGGAAGCCAGAGAAAAGAGGCUUGGAAGAAGCAAAGGGAACUCUCAAGAGGGUGCAGAGAUGAACGUGGCUUGCACCUGGAGAAUUCCCAGCCAAUGUGAGCUUGACGCCCCUCUCCUUUCCACCAAUCAGAUGGCACUACCACCUCCUCCUAAUUCCUCUACCAAUGAAAACUAGGUUCCUUUACCUUAUCCACCAAUCAGGGCUUUGGACAAAGAAUAAUCUUAUCAAACCCCACAUGGAUUCACACGCAUCUGGUAGCUUGGUUGUUGGGUGCUCACUGGGUGGUUCCCCCAGUGCCCCGCUCCUACAGUGACUGCAGCCAGCAGCACCCAGGAGACGGAACCUCCCCGCCCAGCCCGGCGCCCGCCAGCCCUGGUGCCGUUUUUAUAGCAGCAUGCCUCUAGCAAUCAAGACACCUGGCACCUCGGAGGGCCGACUUCCAGAAGGAUUUGCCACAGGGCACCACAACAACUUCUCUGCCAUUCAGAGUCACAGCUGCACAGGUCUGGAUCUCCGCCUGGGGCCGGCGUGGGGGCUCUCUCAGUCCUGGGGCUGGUUCACUGGAGUUUUCUUUCUUUGUUACUAGCCAGCCCCUCAUGGCUGUAAUCCCUUGCUCUAGUAAAUAAUUCUUUAUAUUGAAUUUUCUCUGUUCAAAUUACUACGUGAUUUCUCUCUCCGGACUGGACUCAGACUGAUACAAGUAUGGACCCCCUAGAAGGAACAACAAAUGGAGCUGCCGUCUAUAUACACACGUCGAUUUAGGUCUCUGUCUCUGGCAACUGAAAAGAGACCCAACAAAACAUCUUACAGAGCACCAGGGCCAAUUCUUGAUGCGUCGUUAGAUUCUGUGUAGCCAGAAAGCAGAAACAGAAACAUAUCCAAGCCAGGCGGAGGAAAAACUUUGAGGCCUGUUUAUCCAGGUUCAAGACAAUUUCUAUUUAAAAAAAAAAAAAAGAAAAAAAGAGAGAAAAAAAAAGCUCAUAACAGAAUAAGUUCAGCUUCUCCUGAGUGUCAGAGCUAAGAUCUAACGCCUCUGCUGGUUUCCAUGACAACCACCAGCAGCUACAAUCAUGCCGAACCAAGAACCAGAGGAUUCAGUAACUUUACCUUGAUUCUGUGGCCAGAUUAUUGCCAAUUUUAAAAGGAAAUGCAUAGUGAGCCCCUGUCUCUGUUGUGUCUUCAGUUGUCCCUUGAAAUCUGGAUAUCUUGACAAGAGGCCAGGGCCUAUCCUAUCUCAUCUCCCCAAGCUAGUGUCCUUCCCAGAUGAAUUUCUUCUGGCGCUGGCUCUGUGGCAGGCUCAUGUCGUUUUUUCCCCAAAGAAGAGAUUCCAGAGACGAGGCCUUCACUGAGAGCUUGCUCCUCUACCUCCUGUGGGUUUCAGGGCUGGGACGGGGGACACAGAGAAUCUGUCUCUCGCGAAUGCCAAGUUGAGGUCCUAGCCUGGCUAGGAACUCUUGCAUUCCCCUUGCCUCGCUGUAGCCUCCCCUGGGAACAGACCUUCCAGGAGGGUCGCACCGAGUGAUGAGACUGUUGCAUGAGGCUCUGCAGUGCUUGGACACAGAACUGCACUGCGGCCUUCCAGAUGCUCAGCUGGAAAACCCCUGAGAACCUGAGGCUUUUCUACAGCACAUUAGAGCUUAUGACUGGAGAGUGUCUACCGCCUGAGGGCAGGGAUGAGAUUUUACCUAUCCUAUUCACCUGCUUAGGUGCCCACUUCAUCC
rnacentral:lncRNA from 1 species